rnacentral:piRNA from 1 species
UGCUUAGUGAUGUUGGAAGAUUGGGAUGAC